AUUUAAAUAGUUUAUAAUAAAAUAUAAAUUUGUGGAAUUUAAGAUGUUAAUUUAACUUUAAAUA
rnacentral:tRNA from 1 species